rnacentral:rRNA from 1 species
CCUACGGGAGGCAGCAGUGAGGAAUAUUGGUCAAUGGGCGCGAGCCUGAACCAGCCAAGUCGCGUGAGGGAAGACGGUCCUAUGGAUUGUAAACCUCUUUUGUCGGGGAGCAAAAGACGCCACGCGUGUCGUUCCGAGAGUACCCGAAGAAAAAGCAUCGGCUAACUCCGUGCCAGCAGCCGCGGUAACACGGGGGAUGAGAGCGUUAUCCGGAUUGAUUGGGUUUAAAGGGUGCGCAGGCGGAAGAUCAAGGCAGCGGUAAAAUUGAGAGGCUCAACCUCUUCGAGCCGUUGAAACUGGUUUUGUUGAGGGAGCGAGAAGUAUGCGGAAUGCGUGGUGUAGCGGUGAAAUGGAUAGAUAUCACGCAGAACUCCGAGUGCGAAGGCAGCAUACCGGCGCUCAACUGACGCUCAUGCACGAAAGUGUGGGUAUCGAACAGGAUUAGAUCCCUAGUAGUC